rnacentral:rRNA from 1 species
UAGAGGAAGUAAACGUCGUAACAAGGUUUUUCGUAGGGUGACCUGCGGAAGGAUCAUUAAUGAGUUAGGGUCUUCUAGGAAGGAUCUCCAACCCUUUGAUCAUUACCAUGCUGGUUUGGCGGGCCGUCUUUAGGCGGACCGCCGGGGGUGUUUUCACCUCUGCCCAGUGGGCGUCAGUAGCCUACGCAAAACUCUUUUAACCAUGAUAAAUCUGUAACUAGUUAAAUAAACUAAAACUUUCAACAACGGAUCUCUUGGUUAUGGCAUCGAUGAAGAUCGCANAGAAAUGCGAUAAGUAAUGCGAAUUGCAGAAUUCAGUGAGUCAUCGAAUCUUUGAACGGACAUUGCGCCGUUUAUGAUUCUGAAGGGCAUGCCUGUUCGACCGUCAUUAUCACUAAUCAAGCCCGGCUUGCUGGUGGACCUCUUGCCGUUAAAAGACAGGUCCUAAAGAUAAAGACGGAGUCAGUCGACCCUAAAUGCAACGAGCUUURACUAGCMCGCAUUUUAGUUGUKCCUUUUGACCCGGCCUUUUUAUGACCAUUUUCCUAAGGUUGACCUCGGAUCAGGUA